UACGUAGGGGGCAAGCGUUGUCCGGAAUCAUUGGGCGUAAAGCGCGCGUAGGCGGCCCGAUAAGUCUGCUGUGAAAGUCCAGGGCUCAACCCUGGAAUGCCGGUGGAUACUGUCGGGCUAGAGUUCGGAAGAGGCAAGUGGAAUUCCUGGUGUAGCGGUGGAAUGCGCAGAUAUCAGGAGGAACACCGGUGGCGAAGGCGGCUUCCUGGACCGACACUGACGCUGAGGCGCGAAAGCGUGGGGAGCGAACAGG
rnacentral:rRNA from 1 species